UUUUAUUUGAGAGUUUGAUCCUGGCUCAGGAUGAACGCUGGCGGCGUGCCUAACACAUGCAAGUUGAGCGAUUUACUUCGGUAAAGAGCGGCGGACGGGUGAGUAACGCGUGGGUAACCUACCCUGUACACACGGAUAACAUACCGAAAGGUAUGCUAAUACGGGAUAAUAUAUUUGAGAGGCAUCUCUUGAAUAUCAAAGGUGAGCCAGUACAGGAUGGACCCGCGUCUGAUUAGCUAGUUGGUAAGGUAACGGCUUACCAAGGCGACGAUCAGUAGCCGACCUGAGAGGGUGAUCGGCCACAUUGGAACUGAGACACGGUCCAAACUCCUACGGGAGGCAGCAGUGGGGAACAUUGCACAAUGGGCGAAAGCCUGAUGCAGCAACGCCGCGUGAGUGAUGAAGGCCUUCGGG
rnacentral:rRNA from 1 species